AGUGCCUGAGGGUCACUCAAUUAGGAGGAAAGUGUCUCAGGGAAGAGGAAUAUGAUGCUGGAAGUUACACCCAGGACAUUUCACCCUGACUCAAGGAAGCAUGGCAUGAGGAAGUUUCCCAGCACCCAUGGCACUUGCGUCAUAUCCUUUCCUCAGUGCCAGCUCAAGUAGUUGUGCGGUUGUUUUUCAGGCUUGUUCUCUUAAUAGCUCUGGAGAAAUUAAUUAUUUCUGUGGGAGAGGGGAAAAAACCCUUGAAAAAGAGAAGUUGCUGCAGGAUCAGAUCCGGAUGCCUUCAGCCUAUCUGUGAUGUGACACGUCCCUCUUUGACUCAGCCUGAAACUGCUGAGGUCAGCUUGGAAUUUCCUCCUGCGGGGUUCGCUCUAUAAAAAGAAAAGAUGCACCCAACAGCUGGAGAGGGCAAGAGAGAAGAGAUGGCAGUGCUUCAGCCUGAGAUCUUCGUUGCUUCCCGCCGGGGUAACACAAUGGUUCCUCGUUUUCCUUCUUACCGAUGCCAUGAUGAUCUUUUCUACCCUUUUGUUCUGUCAAUCAGCAGGGGCCAUACUACCCUAAUAAAAAGCAAGAACCUCAGAUAUUUCAUUCUGGGGAUCUGCUUCCAUGGGUAGAGCCCACCCUACAGCUGUAAGACUUAAGACCCCGGUAAACAAACAAAGGAUCCACUGACCUAUCUCCCUUCUCCUGCUCUUGCUGCUCCUCCCUGCGUGUGUGUUUCUGACACUGGACUAGGGAGAAAGAAGAGGUUAAACUAUCCUUGUCCCCUAGCAGAGUGUUUGGGCAUUGGGUAGGCCAGUUUCAACAGGCAUUAGCUUUGCCCCAUCAAUCCCUGCAAUCAGAGCAAGAGACUGCACCUUACAAACAGCAGCGACUCUGGAUUUCUACACAUUCUGUGAAAAAUGGGAGCUGUGAAGGGCUGACCCAGAGGCUUCCUCCUGUGACCAAAUCCAGCAGUUCUGCUCUCUCUUCCACUGCAGAAAUGCCUCAACUUUAACAGCAAAAAGAACUCGGGGUCCUUUCUGGAGCAUGUUUUUCUCCACUCUACAUUUCAGUGUGCUCCAGAUUCAGGUGGGAGGAGUUCAAGGAUGGCCCUAGCAGAGCUCUUUAGAAAGUGUUAGGAAUCCAUACGGCUCUGCCACAGCAGACGCCCAGCAAGCAGCAGGGAGACGGGAAGGUCAGUGGUGCAGGAUCAUCGUCAUCGGUCGUCUAACUGAUCUCCAGCUGGAGUGGGACAUUGUGAACGGAGCGGAAGAGGAGCUUCAGCCCGCUGCCCCUCUGCUCAGUGUUUCAUGGUUGGGAGGCGCCAAAUAACUCCCGUAAAACCACCGUCCCAGGCACGCUCUGUCUCGUGCUUCCGAUGGGACGGAUCCUUUGGCAUUUCUGUACCAUGUCUAAUGAGCUUCCUUUCCAGGCAGAAAUAAACGGUUGUGAGAUCAAA